GUAAGAGGAAAUGUGAGACCUUGUGGCCUAUUUUCAAAAUAGCACAUCAAAAGAGCCGCUACAUUUUUGACCUUUACCACCGAAGAAAUGAAAUAUCCAAGGAAUUAUACGAGUUCUGCCUGGACCAAGGCUAUGCUGACCGCAAUCUAAUUGCAAAAUGGAAAAAGCCUGGUUAUGAACGUCUCUGCUGUUUGAGAUGCAUGCAGCCUCGGGAUCAUAACUAUGCCACUACAUGCGUUUGCCGAGUGCCCAAGCAUCUGCGGGAGGAGAAGGUUAUAGAGUGUGUGCAUUGUGGUUGUAGGGGCUGUGCUAGUGGAGAUUGAUUAGCAUGUCAUCUGUUCGUUGAAGUGUAAUACCAGAUGAUUGGACCAGGUUAACCUUGUUACCAUUAGUUGGGAAUUUGUGACUGUUAGCUGACCUUAACUUUCCUGAUUCUAGGCCCUUUGCAACUUGUAUUAGUAGUAUAUAUCUGCUUCUACUGUUCUGAACAACAGUUUGUGAUAAUCAACUAACUACAACUUGAAAGCUGAAAGAAAGUAUGUUUCGUUUGGAGUUUGGAACUUCCAAGUUUGCCAUCAA